CGACUUUGUGUGUGGCGUCUCUCCAAACCCCUUCGACCGUCCGGACUUCUCCGAUAGUGAACUUCUGCAUUCAUCUAUCGGGCCACCCCAAAAGCUCUCUGGGCCUCACCACCAGCCGACCUUCUACAGUGAUCAACUAUUCUCCGAACUUCUUUUGGACUUCGUCAAUAUCCGAACUUCUUCGACAAUGAGGUUUCUACAGUAAUCAGACUCCAUCCAAGUUACUACGGGCGGUCUACUCCGAACUCCUACAGCGAGCGGUCUACUCCGAACUUCUACUACG
rnacentral:lncRNA from 1 species